GAGCCGAGGACGUGCCGCCGCCGCGGGGAAGGGCCCCGUGUGUGGCCCUCCGCGCAGCCCCUUGUCCCGGUUUUUAGGGUUCGGGGUUUUUAUGAGCCCCUUUAUAUCUCAUAUUUAAAAGGGGAAAAGCGUCUUCCCUCACCACCUCCUCCGCUUUUUUAUUUUUGGGGUCUAAGUUACCCAGAAGGCUCAUGUCUUAUCGUCAGUGACCGAGAAUUAUUCUAAUUAAAUGUAGCUGUUUUUGGAGGAUGGGUGGGUGGAGAGAUCCUCUACUAUUGAAAUUUCAGUCGCUUUUUGAGGCGUCCGCCAGGAAAGCUCCAAGAAACAGCAGGCCAGCAUCGGGCAGAGCUGGAUUGCAAAAUUUGGGGGCCGAGCGGUGUGUGCACAGAAAAAAAAUGCUGCUAUGAAGACAUAAUUAUAUCUCAUAAAUGAAGCUACUACUGUCAUGAUUUUAGUGCUGCAGAAAGGAUGAACUUCAGUGGACAAGAGGGCAUUUUGAGGGGUAGUAGGAUGCUUGAGGCCUGGAAUUUAAAUUUGAGCUACUUCCUGAAGCUCUUAAAUAAUAGAAGAAAAUGGAAUUGAAUAUGAUGUCAGCAUGGAACAGUCUAAUGAUUCAUUAAUAGUCAACCAUAAUGAUUCUGAAGAUUCAAAAACAGAUUCUCAGCAUUCAACCUGUAUCGACUCCAGGGAUCCUUCCUUUGGACAAAAUAGUUCUGAUAGAGUUUUACCCGUCACUACUCAUGAAGCAGAUAAUUCACUCACAUCACAGAAUAUACCAGGGCCCCUGACUCAGGCACAGACUCUUUCUGCAGAGCAAUUUCACCUAGUGGACCAAAAUGGGCAACCUAUUCAAUAUGAACUUCAGUCAUUGGAGGAUUCUAAUGCACAAAUGAUGAUUGUUGCCAGCUCAUCAGAAAAUGGACAGAUGCUUCGUGUAAUUCCAUCUACCCAGACAGGAAUGACACAAGUGAUUAUACCUCAGGGACAGCUUGUGGAUAUGAAUAGUCCUCAGGAUGCCUCUGAAGAGAAACCCAGCAACAGAAACUUACCAACUGCAAGACUGGAUGCUCUCGCCGACCAUAACAGUAGUUAUAUUCUGCAUCCACAAGCAUCCCUCACAUUGCCCCAAAAGACAGUGACCAGAAUGCUUGAAGAACCAUUUCUGGCUCCUCUCCAGCCACUUUCUUCUAACACACCUAUAUGGGCCUGCCGUCUUAGGAGUUGUGAGAAAAUUGGAGAUUCAUACCGGGGCUACUGUGUAAGUGAGACUGAAUUAGAAAGUGUUUUAACAUUUCACAAGCAGCAAACACAGAGUGUUUGGGGAACUCGCCAAUCUCCAAGCCCAGCCAAGCCAGCUACACGUUUGAUGUGGAAAUCCCAGUAUGUCCCAUAUGAUGGAAUUCCAUUUGUCAAUACAGGGAGUAGAGCCGUGGUAAUGGAGUGUCAGUAUGGGCCAAGGAGAAGAGGUUUCCAGUUAAAAAAGAUCAGUGAGCAGGAAAGCAGGCCUUGUCACCUCUACAAAGCCACUUGUCCAGCCCGAAUUUACAUUAAAAAGGUACAAAAGUUUCCUGAAUAUAGAGUUCCUACAGACCCCAAAAUUGAUAAGAAAAUUAUACGAAUGGAGCAAGAGAAAGCCUUUAACGUGCUAAAGAAGAACUUGGUAGAUGCUGGUGGUGUUUUUAGGUGGUAUGUACAGUUACCUACACAGCAAGCUCAUCAGUAUCACGAAUUGGAGACUCCCUCCCUCCCUUUGUCACCUUCCCCUUUUCCUGUGUCCUCUAUGGAAGAAGAGGAAACUGCAAUUAGGGAUGAGAAUUGUACAUUACCCUCUCGUCUACAUCCUCAAGUAGCACAUAAGAUUCAAGAAUUAGUAUCACAAGGAAUAGAACAAGUGUAUGCAGUAAGGAAACAUCUAAGAAAAUUUGUGGAAAGAGAACUGUUCAAAUCUGAUGAGGUACCUGAAAGACAUAAUUUAUCCUUUUUUCCAACUGUAAAUGAUAUAAAAAAUCACAUCCAUGAAGUACAGAAAUCCUUGAGAAAUGGAGAUAAUGUAUCUAACUCAGAGAUUAUUCCAGCAACGCUUCAGUGGACUACAGACAGUGGGAAUAUUCUCAGAGAGACUGUGACAGUAACAUUUGCAGAAGGAAAUUCGCCAGAAGAAUCGUCUACCACCAAAGUGGAAACAAAUCAGACAAGGGGUUCUUUGUCUCCAGAAUCAGCCCAUUUGCUCUCCUCCUCACAUUCUUCAUUUCAGCCAAAAAUAUUCACACAACUACAGGGUUUACAGUUGCAACCAAGAUUCACUUCUCCUGAUGGAUCACCGGCUCUGAUAUCAGUAAAUGACCACCUCUCCUCUAGUCCUUCAAGACUUCUGGAUUCAAUACGAAGUACUGUAAUAAAUAAUAAUUCUCUACAGUGUGGUCAGAGUCAUGGCCUUCAAACAGAUACAUGCCUUACCCCAAACAACAGUAUUGCCUCUACCAUGGAUAACCUUCCAGCACCAGAUCAAAAUGUGGCUGCAGUGGAUCAGCUGGUGGACGUUGGAGAUGCUGAGGAUACAGAGAAUCUGGAAGGAAGUGUUCAUCGGUUUCUGUUGGGAAAUGUACAGACCAUUCCAAUACAAAUUAUAGACAGCCACCCACCUCUUAUUGAAGAAAACCCAGAAGGUACCAUUUCUGUGAACCAAGUUAAACAGGAACCCAAAGAACCAGCAUUGUCUAUGGAAGCAAAAAAAAUUUUUGGACUAUAAGAAAUUAUCUGCUACAUAAAUUGUUGAAGCUUUCCAGAACUGUACAACUCUGGUGACUUCUGAUGUCAUAGAAAAGAAGGUAGAAACUGGAACUAUCAAUAUUUUCAUAAAAUAAUUGGAAAACAACCCAAAGAGAGUUGGGAAGUCAAGGAGAGAGAAUUGCUGAAGAAAUGUCUUUGGGUUAUUUUGGAGGUAUUUUAAAGGAGCCAGCAUUUGAUGAUCUUGGAGGUCCUAUAAAAAUCUGGUCAACUUGGAAAUAGCGUGCUUUCCGAGGCCCUUUGAGUCUCCUGCACAGGGUCUCUCCAAUGACGAUGGUAAG